rnacentral:rRNA from 1 species
AACGCGAAGAACCUUACCAAGGCUUGACAUGCAUUAGAUCGCGUCAGAGAUGGCGUCUCCCUUCGGGGCUGGUGUACAGGUGGUGCAUGGUUGUCGUCAGCUCGUGUCGUGAGAUGUUGGGUUAAGUCCCGCAACGAGCGCAACCCUCGUUCUAUGUUGCCAGCGGUUCGGCCGGGGACUCAUAGGAGACUGCCGGGGUCAACUCGGAGGAAGGUGGGGAUGACGUCAAAUCAUCAUGCCCCUUAUGUCUUGGGCUUCACGCAUGCUACAAUGGCCGGUACAGAGGGUUGCGAUACUGUGAGGUGGAGCUAAUCCCUUAAAGCCGGUCUCAGUUCGGAUUGGGGUCUGCAACUCGACCCCAUGAAGUCGGAGUCGCUAGUAAUCGCA